rnacentral:rRNA from 1 species
GACGAACGCUGGCGGCGUGCUUAACACAUGCAAGUCGAACGGUAAGGCCCUUCGGGUACGACGAGUGGCGAACGGGUGAGUAACACGUGGGUGAUCUGCCCUGCACUUCGGGAUAAGCCUGGGAAACUGGGUCUAAUACCGGAUAGGACUCCUGGCUUCAUGGUUGGGGGUGUAAAGCUUUUGCGGUGUGGGAUGGGCCCGCGGCCUAUCAGCUUGUUGGUGGGGUAAUGGCCUACCAAGGCGACGACGGGUUAGCCGGCCUGAGAGGGUGACCGGCCACACUGGGACUGAGAUACGGCCCAGACUCCUACGGGAGGCAGCAGUGGGAAUAUUGCACAAUGGGCGCAAGCCUGAUGCAGCGACGCCGCGUGAGGGAUGACGGCCUCGGUUGUAA